GGUAUUAUGAAACCAAGUUGCCGCCGUAAAAGGAGAAAUCCAAUAUUAUCGUGUUGUGUUGAGUUUUGAAAUGUUAACCUUGAGCCUUUCCGAAAUAUUUAACUUAACGGCAUCAGAUCUAUUGGAAAUAGUUACAGGAUAACAAAAAAUUUGAAAUCCAAUGAUCAUAUUAUAAUAAUUGUAACCAAAAGGUACAACACAUCCCGCGAUAUCAAAUAGGUAUUUAUGGUAGGUAGGUAUCCUUUUCAGUGGCGUACAUUAAGUCCAUAGAAUAAUAUAGAGGUGGCAUUCAGUUUAAAAAUUGAAGCAAAACACUAACAAUGUCGCCAAUUAAAUUCCGCAUUUAAAUAUACCUAUACUAUAACACAUUGCAAUAAAGUGUAUUAUGAAAAGGUAUCGAAAAAGUAAGACAUAUCUGUUUGAAAAUGUAGUUACCUACCUAGUUAUUUAUUUAA